CCUACGGGGGGCAGCAGUGAGGAAUAUUGGUCAAUGGACGAGAGUCUGAACCAGCCAAGUAGCGUGAAGGAUGACUGCCCUAUGGGUUGUAAACUUCUUUUAUAUGGGAAUAAAACGUUCCACGUGUGGGAUUUUGUAUGUACCAUAUGAAUAAGGAUCGGCUAACUCCGUGCCAGCAGCCGCGGUAAUACGGAGGAUCCGAGCGUUAUCCGGAUUUAUUGGGUUUAAAGGGAGCGUAGGUGGAUUGUUAAGUCAGUUGUGAAAGUUUGCGGUUCAACCGUAAAAUUGCAGUUGAAACUGGCAGUCUUGAGUACAGUAGAGGUGGGCGGAAUUCGUGGUGUAGCGGUGAAAUGCUUAGAUAUCACGAAGAACUCCGAUUGCGAAGGCAGUUCACUGGACUGCAACUGACACUGAGGCUCGAAAGUGUGGGUAUCAAACAGGAUUAGAUACCCCUGUAGUC
rnacentral:rRNA from 1 species